UAGGGAAUCUUCCGCAAUGGGCGAAAGCCUGACGGAGCAACGCCGCGUGAGUGAUGAAGGUCUUCGGAUCGUAAAACUCUGUUAUUAGGGAAGAACAAAUGUGUAAGUAACUAUGCACGUCUUGACGGUACCUAAUCAGAAGGCCACGGCUAACUACGUGCCAGCAGCCGCGGUAAUACGUAGGUGGCAAGCGUUAUCCGGAAUUAUUGGGCGUAAAGCGCGCGUAGGCGGUUUUUUAAGUCUGAUGUAAAAGCCCACGGCUCAACCGUGGAGGGUCAUUGGAAACUGGAAAACUUGAGUGCAGAAGAGGAAAGUGGAAUUCCAUGUGUAGCGGUGAAAUGCGCAGAGAUAUGGAGGAACACCAGUGGCGAAGGCGACUUUCUGGUCUGUAACUGACGCUGAUGUGCGAAAGCGUGGGGAUCAAACAGG
rnacentral:rRNA from 1 species